rnacentral:misc_RNA from 1 species
GAGAGCCGGAUGCGGGAGAUCUGCACGUCCGGUUCGAUGAGGAGGAUGUGGAAACGGGGUGAUGGCAGACGCUACUAGGGCACCGCCAAGCGAAAGCGGCGGCCAACAGACAAGCCAAGCCUAAGACUACCGCGCCACAUCCUUACUCUAC